rnacentral:rRNA from 1 species
UGGGGAAUAUUGCGCAAUGGGGGAAACCCUGACGCAGCGACGCCGUGUGAGGGAAGAAGGCCUUCGGGUCGUAAACCUCUGUCGGGAGGGAAGAACCGCCAGGAGCCGAACAGGGUCCUGGCCUGACGGUACCUCCGAAGGAAGCGCCGGCUAACUCCGUGCCAGCAGCCGCGGUAAUACGGAGGGCGCGAGCGUUAAUCGGAAUCACUGGGCGUAAAGCGCACGUAGGCGGCUUGAUAAGUCGGGCGUGAAAGCCCUCGGCCCAACCGAGGAAUCGCGUUCGAUACUGUUUAGCUUGAGUCCUGGAGAGGGUGGCGGAAUUCCGGGUGUAGGAGUGAAAUCCGUAGAUAUCCGGAGGAACACCGGUGGCGAAGGCGGCCACCUGGACAGGUACUGACGCUGAGGUGCGAAAGCGUGGGGAGCAAACAG